rnacentral:rRNA from 1 species
GACUCGCACUUCCUUUCUUCAUUGGCUCCCCGGUUUGAUUUCUACCCUCCUGGUUGAACCCUUCUUUCUUCCUUCUUCCUCCUUGUUACACUUUUGCAAGUCUAGACUAGCCCUCCCCUAGUUUUAGGGAUCGGCGUAGAGGUAACGUUAGCCCGGACCGUAGAGAAAGGGAGUGGGAGGAAGAGGUGGAGGCCGGCGGCGGUGUCGGUCCGGCCGCACCACCACGCGGAGGGCGGAGUAGUGGGUAGAGGUAGGUAGGUAGCCGCGGCGGUCGGUGCUGGUAGAGGUGGUGCGUUGUGGUCGGUGGUAUGGUAGGUAGGACGGUUGGAGUUCGCGUAGCGUAGGUGCCGCGCCGGCUGGUCUGUUCCACAGACCACGGGGCGCGCUGGGACGGAAGACGACAACGAGAAGGGAUGACGGGAAGAGAAGAAGGGGUAGCGGAAGGACGACGAGGGAGGCGGGUAGAGCGACGACGGGGAGGAGACAAAGAGGAGAGUGCUGGGACGAACCGGAGCCGACUUCGAAAAGAGAGUUGGGAGGUGCGACGACGACGACGACGAGAAAUGGCGUUGACAACGACGAGGAAGGGAGUUGGAGAGACGACUUGACGGCGACGAGGAGAGAGAACGACGUGGAAGAGAGCUUGCGGGGACGACGAGGAGUAGAAGGUUUUUGGACGACGAGGAGGAGGGGGAAAGGGUUUUGGACGACGACAAGAGAGAGAGUUUAAAGACAUUGGAACUCAUCACAUUACAAGUCUUAACACAUUACAAGUCCCAACACAUUAUAAGUCUGAACUGAUCAAGAUUAGUGAACAAUAAGCAAGUCGAGGCAUAACAUAUUAUAUCAUGAACAAUACACUGGACUGAACAACUACGGAAGAAUUAAACCCUCCACUAACUAGAUAGUCUUAGACGAAUACUCAUAAAGACACUGUAUAUACAAGUACUAUAUACAAAGUACACCAAAGCAUAAAGACACUACAACUAGUAAAAUCACGAUCAUAACACAGAACACAUUAGGUUUAGUAUAUACAAGACACACACACUGAUUAACAGUCGAUCAACGAAAAUUAUUAAGUAUAACAAAGAACACUUAAAUGAUAACUACAAUGGUAAACAUCUUCAUUCUACAUACUUGUAAAUUAAAGCUCAGAAACACAAUUGCUACAAGCACACUUUUAUAUAUACAAACACAACAAUAUAUAAAGACAGGGACAGCAUGAUCGAACAAAGAAGGAGGACAGUAGACGUACGAUCAAUAUAUACAGGUACAUAAAACUGAAGGGAAUAGUAACUACGAUCAUAACAUCAAUAGACCAUCAAACUUUUAUGGUUAAUCUCUCACUCACAGUUGGAAUUAAAGGGACACAACAAACAGUAGUAGGAACUAAUAAAAUCCAAAUAUAAAAGAACGCUAGUAGUGGGAUUAACACAAUAGAUUGAAAUCGGCUCGUAUCAACGACAACGGAUCAGGGACUCCUCUUGUGCUGUGAGCGUCAAACCCGUAUUUUUGGGGUGACAUGGAUGUUAUCUAGUAAAACCGCGGCAACGGCCCCUGAUCGCAGCUCACUGGCACAAUCCGAUAUCUGAUCCAAAACGAAGACAAAGAUAGACCACGGUAUAUAAACACUAUAUAGAGAAUGGGGAUUGGUGACAAGAUCAAUAGAAGAGAAAGAAAAGAACAAGUAAAACAUCCAACUUAACAGAAAACCUUUACCGUAAGAUGAGUCUAGUAGUACGAAUACGCUCGUUGUGAUGUUUGUCGUGCCUUUCAUAAGUUCUUGACUAUUCAUUCUAAAGGGUAGCUAAUCUACUAAAUCGAGCCGUCGCUCUUCAUCAAAAACUCCUAUCCUGAUCGAGAAUACUAGGAAUAAGAUCUCCAGUAGGAAUACAACGAGGAUGUACGGUAUAAACACCUAAAGUCCCGGUAAGUGGGUGACUUACAGUCGCACCAAUGAGAGUGGGAGGGCUAUCAAUACCGUACUCGAAGCGGGGUGUCGGAUCGAGUAUGGUUUUGUUAAUGAGUAUACCCACCGGACUUUUGGUCUUAUACAGUAUAUCCUUGUUGUCGGGACUCUAGAGUAGCAAACGGAGAUCAAUAGGUAACGUCCCUUAAUCCAUGUUACACCUCUCGGUGUUGGUACGUGGUGUUGUCAAAAUAAGUGGAGGAUGAGUAUAUGGCGUCGUGGUCCUCUACACAGGUUACCUCAAUUUACCAGGAGGUAAACCAGUUGGUUGUUGAGGUCGUGGACAACACGUUAGAGUACACGUUCACGGGUGUGUUCUGCUCAAGCUACUGUAUCUGUUCGAGUGUGAAAACUCAGAGCUCAAGUGAACCUCACGGCUCCUACUAGGAUAAUCCUUCCACUAUGAACUCCUUUACUUCUUCUAAUUCUCACCUUUCCUCGAUCACCUUCUUCAUUCCUUCUAACUCUUCUUGUAGUUGCGACCGUCAUGAUAGAGAAGGGAGGAACUCGACUCACAAGGACCCUAUAGGGAACUCCACACACUGCAAGCUUGUGGAAGUGUAAGUCGACUCGUUCUAUCGCUCUCAGGUCUCCUUCUCUAUGAAGUCUAGGUUCUUCUCUAAGAGCUUCGGUUCCGUGUUCUACUAGGUCUCGAGUUGAUGGGUUCACUAGUCCAGCUUCUGGAACUUCUAGGUUACAUAUAGGAAGGACUUCUUCAUUUUCUUCGAGGUCAUCAACUUCUACUUCUUGGUCUUUAAGUAAACGGGUAGCAGUAUGUUCUCGCACUACAUCGUCCAAGCUCACUGUAAGGAACCCUGGGACCACCUGAGUCUCGUACCCCUACUCCUCUUCGUUCCCCCGUGUGUGCUUCUUCUCACUUCGACCUCGUAGGUACUCCUUCGUUUCCUCUUCUCGUCGUCGAAUCUCUCACUAGUUCGCUCACGAUGAAGUAUCACGGGCCACUCGACAAAGUACUGGGUAAGGCUCAUAUAGUAGGUAACUAUGUACGACUUUAGUUUACAAUAAACCCAACGAAUUCAGUACAGAAUUUACAACGGGGUGACUUAAAAUAAACUGUAUACCACGAACUACACUUAUACACUUGACUUAACACUUACGGAACAUUUGAUCACUAGAUGUAUGACGAACGAAACGACUUUCAUCACCUGCGAUAAUCAAAACUCACGAGCUUAGGGAUCAUGUGAUCUUUUGAAAUAGUAAAAGACGAAAUGGAACUAUGUGGAUCUAGUAAUUCACAGUCUACGACUCAAACGUGGAUUACACAAGGGUAAGUCUCGUUAGUAAAGUGGUGAUACCUAAUCGUACGAUACAAGAGACCUAGCCAUCGUACACUUGGUCUGGACCAACUCACUACUAAGAACACAAACAAGUAAUUUUUUCCGUAUAAAAUAUCACUUAUUAAUAGACUAGAUGGAUUGUCAUCGUACAGUACAAGAGCCCUAGCCACCGUACACUUUAGACCAUCGAACCUGUCAUUAUUUAUUUAUUAUUUUUACAUUAACAGCUUGGUCCACAUAUGGUACAAGAGACCUAGCCACCAUACAAGGAAACCCCUCUGUUAAUUUUUUUGGAUUGUUAACCAGCUCGGUCCACAUAUGGUACAAGAGCCCUAGCCACCAUACAAGGAAACCACUCUAACUAUUAUAUAAUAGUUCACGCAAAGUUAAAGUUAUUCACCAAAAUGGUGUUAGAAUACAAGGAUCAUUAUCCACAGAGAACCCUAGUACGAGAGAAAUCCUUGGAAAACCGUGUUAGUCGUAAACUUGAACAAUUAGAAGAAAAUAGUAACAUUUUCAAAUUUUACUAACUCAAAUGAUCACAGGAUAACGAAAGAUCGUGAGGAUUGGUAAUUAAAAGUGAUUGGUUCAGACUUCGUACGUGACAAAUCUCUAGAUGAAGUGAACUGUAAAAGAUAAGUCAAGUGAUAAGUGAUAGAACGAGAACAGUAUAAGGAAACGAACUCCUGUUCGUUUCUAAAUUCACACCCCCUUGAACUAUUCGUGUAAAGUAUAUAUAUUAAAACUGUGUGUUUAAGUGGUAAAGAACUCUACACAGGUAGAUAAGAACGAUUCUUAAUAGCUUAUAACGUACUUUUAGUAUAUUUUCCUAACAACUGAUCAGUGAACAAAUAAAACGUCUUUUCACGCUAUUCCGUGUUUUGAGAAGAUGAUGUUUACUAGUUCACUACCUCAGUUCCUCGACUCGCACUUCCUUUCUUCAUUGGCUCCCCGGUUUGAUUUCUACCCUCCUGGUUGAACCCUUCUUUCUUCCUUCUUCCUCCCGGUUACACUUUUGCAAGUCUAGACUAGCCCUCCCCUAGUUUUAGGGAUCGGCGUAGAGGUAACGUUAGCCCGGACCGUAGAGAAAGGGAGUGGGAGGAAGAGGUGGAGGCCGGCGGCGGUGUCGGUCCGGCCGCACCACCACGCGGAGGGCGGAGUAGUGGGUAGAGGUAGGUAGGUAGCCGCGGCGGUCGGUGCUGGUAGAGGUGGUGCCUGGUGGUCGUGGUAUGGUAGGUAGGACGGUUGGAGGUCGCGGUAGCGUAGGUGCCGCGCCGGCUGGUCUGUUCCACAGACCACGGGGCGCGCUGGGACGGAAGACGACGACGAGAAGGGAUGACGGGAAGAGAAGAAGGUGUAGCGGAAGGACGACGAGGGAAGCGGGUAGAGCGACGAGGAGGAGGAGACAAAGAGGAGAGUGCUGGGACGAACCGGAGCCGACUUCGAAAAGAGAGUUGGGAGGUGCGACGACGACGACGAGACCUGGCGUUGACAACGACGAGGAAGGGAGUUGGAGAGACGACUUAACGGCGACGAGGAGAGAGAACGACGUGGAAGAGAGUUUGCGGGGACGACGAGGAGUAGAAGGUUUUUGGACGACGAGGAGGAGGGGGAAAGGGUUUUGGACGACGACAAGAGAGAGAGAGAGUUUAAAGACAUUGGAACUCAUCACAUUACAAGUCUUAACACAUUACAAGUCCCAACACAUUAUAAGUCUGAACUGAUCAAGAUUGGUGAACAAUAAGCAAGUCGAGGCAUGACCAUAUUAUAUCAUGAACAAUACACUGGACUGAACAACUACGGAGGAAUUAAACCCUCCACUAACUAGAUAGUCUUAGACGAAUACUCAUAAAGACACUGUAUAUACAAGCACUAUAUACAAAGUACACCAAAGCAUAAAGAC